rnacentral:lncRNA from 1 species
CUCCUGUUUUGUCUCAUAAGGGCACGUAGAUAUCUGUUUCCCAUAUUACUUAUUUAAAAAAAAAAAAAGGAAAGAAAACAAUCAUCCCACUGGAAAGCCUGAAGUAUAUGUAGUGCUCCUGGCAAAAUUCUCACCAGCAGCUCUGCUAUCAGCUGAUAAACAUUACCAGUGAUCAGCAAGGAAGGUCACAAUCUUACUUAUUGGUCUUCUGUUGCAAAUAAACAUCAGCAACAGACUGCUAUGGUACACAAAAAAAAACAGGGAGAAAAAAAAGAGAGAAGGACAAGAAAGGAGAAAGGAGAGGGGGACCCACUCAUCUGUGUCAGACCUGUGGUGCUCAUCUCAGGAAAGCAGAGCUCCCUUCUUGGGCAAAUGGAGCGGGGGAUCGUCUCUCCUGACCCUUCAGCCUUUAUCUACUUUUUCAGUGUUUUCCAAUAAAUUCCAUAUCUGCUCUCCAUUGGCUCAAGUUUUGAUCUUCAGUUUCAAAUCAAUAACCUCUUACAGAAAGACAUAUAGUACCAAAAAAAAAAUAAAAAAAAUCUGGACUAAAUAUUUCUGUCUGCAAUAUAGAUGAGAAAUGUUCUGGGUGGUUAAAAUAUUUUCUAUUACACUAAAUGAUUACUCUGAGGUUUGUUACAUUAGCUUAGGAAUAAUCAGUUAUGAUUUAUUGACAGCAAUGUGCUUUGAGUAGAGAACAGAAGCACAGGAUCACGGGAUAAAUGAGGCUGGCAGGGCCCUCUGGGUCCACCUGACCCAAAUCCUGCUCUAGCAGGGACACCCAGGCAGGGCACCCAGGGCCACAUCCAGGUGGCUUUUGAUCCCCAAGGUGGAUCUUCACAGCCUCUAUGGGCAGCCUGUGCCAGUGCUCCAUCACUGUACAGCACAGGAGUGCUGCCUGAUGGACAGAUGCAACCUCCUGUGCUCCAGUUUGUGCCCACUGCCUCUUGUCCUGGCACUGGGCGUCACUAAGGUCACCCAACAACAUUCAGAUUUGUACUGAAAAAAAAAAAAGCUUAAAUGUUGCUUCCAGUGCAUUUUCUAAUUUUAAUUUGAUAGAUGAUGGUCCUGCGGGAUAAAUCACUGAUGGAAAUAGUACGAUCAUAAGCACCGAGGAGUUCAGGUAUGAACUUCACCAUAAAAUUGUUGUGUAGCUUUAAGAGAGAGUUCAGGUAAAGAAGUGACAGCGGAUAAACUCUCUGUCAGCAGUGAUGAGAACAAUAAUGUCUGCCUCACAAAGGAGUUGCACAGACUUUCAGUUAGUGUUUAUCAAGAAUUUUGAAAAGUGUGCAUUAUAUUCUGUAAUCUGUACUCUGGGGUCUUCUAAAUAAAUAAAUGGAGGCCUUUUACA